rnacentral:ncRNA from 1 species
AUAACACUACAAGACUCUUUCCAGGNCCUGUAACUGGAAUGAGUCCACUUUACAUUUUUAGUGAAGAGCCACUGGAGGGCAAGUCUGGUGCCAGCAGCCACAGUAAUUCCAGCUGCAA